rnacentral:rRNA from 1 species
GACGAACGCUGGCGGCGUGCUUAACACAUGCAAGUCGAACGCUGAACCCGCUCCGGUGGGGGAUGAGUGGCGAACGGGUGAGUAACACGUGGGCAACCUGCCCCCGGCUCUGGGAUAACUCCAAGAAAUUGGGGCUAAUACCGGAUGUGACCGCUGGCCGCAUGGUCUGGUGGUGGAAAGGGUUUCCGGCUGGGGAUGGGCCCGCGGCCUAUCAGCUUGUUGGUGGGGUAGUGGCCUACCAAGGCGACGACGGGUAGCCGGCCUGAGAGGGUGACCGGCCACACUGGGACUGAGACACGGCCCAGACUCCUACGGGAGGCAGCAGUGGGGAAUAUUGCGCAAUGGGCGGAAGCCUGACGCAGCGACGCCGCGUGGGGGAUGACGGCCUUCGGGUUGUAAACCUCUUUCAGCAGGGACGAAGCGCAAGUGACGGUACCUGCAGAAGAAGCACCGGCCAACUACGUG